UCUCUCCUGUUACAGACAGCGUUGAAUCUCUAUGUACCAUUCCUGCCCACACAUAAGUACCACCGUAUCUUAACAUGUUUAUACCAUCCUCUACUACUGUAGGAGACCCGCAUACCUCAAUUACACAGUCGGCGAAAUCUGGUGGAUUUAAAGGUUUGGAGCAAGAACUUUAAACCAACGUAAACAAUCACAGCUUCUCACCAAUAUAAGAAGUAAUUCACCCACCCACCUGCAAACGUGUGUAGAUCCGAAGCACAUAUCGUGGCCAGUCUGACUUUAACGAGGACCUCACCCGGUCCAACUUCAGCGAGCAAACGAGGACGCGCUUCCCAAACUCCUCCCGCUUGCAGACCCCAUCCUCAUUGAUCGUGCCCCACUUGUAAGACGCGCCCGAGGUGGGCCAGGUUUCCCUGUAGUUGGUCUAUGGCUUGUUGCCUCACUCGGUGCAAUGGAUGAUCGCUCAAC